GCCGGAUACGGUGGCGUGUGCCUGUAGACCCAGCUACUUGGGAGGCUGAGCCAGCUGGAUCACUUGAGCCCAGGAGUUCUGGGUUGCAGUGUGCUAUGCCGAGUGGGCGUCUGUGUUAAGUCGGCAUCAAUAUGGUGAGCCCUGGGGAGCUGGGGGGACACCAGGUUGACUAAGGAAGGGUGAACCGGCCCAGGUCAGAGAUGGAGCAGGUCAAAGCUCCCAUGCCGGUUAGUAGCGGGAUCACACCUGUCAAUAGCCACUGCAGCAUAGCCUAGGAAACAGAGAGAGACGUGGGCUCUU
rnacentral:SRP_RNA from 1 species